UGCCGGUGAAAGGCAGCGUUGCAUAUGGGCGUUCUUCUUACUGGAUUUCAUUUUCAAACUACACUACACAGACAAGGGAAUAGCCAUUCUCGGCAGUCCCAUUCGCAGACCGCACUCCCUCUCUCUCUCUCUCUCUCUCUCUCAUCACCGCCUUCCAUGGUUCCAUUUACGUAAGCUUCUUCCGCGCUUCUCAUCUCGAAUGCGAUAUUGCGAUGUUAAUCAGGAGGUCCUCUUUUCCAUCCUUAUUCCAUAUAUUCACUCCCAAGUUGUCCGUUACCUUCUUCUCUUCUCUCUGCAAAGGAAGACUCUUUAGGCCUCCCUCUGCGGCAACUCCUCCUGUUCCGAAGAAGAUUCCCUUCACAGUCUCUGCUCAUGGAAGAACAUGGGAGGAUCCUUACCAUUGGAUGUCCAACACCAACGACUCAGACCUCCUGAAGUACCUAAACCAGGAAAACAAUUAUGUCGAAGCUUUCAUGGCCGACACCAUCCAACUACAACAGAAACUGCUUUCUGAAAUGAGAAGCCGAAUGCCUCCUAAAAUCUCAACUCCCCCUGAACGCUGGGGGCCCUGGUUGUACUACCAAUACAUCCCUGAGGGAAAAGAAUACCCAGUUUUAUGCAGGAGACUGGAUGCCCGAACCCACAAUAGUGGUUGGAUCAAGAAGGUUCUCAAUUACGUAAGUUGGGGAUUAGCAAGGGAGGAAAUACUGCUCGACUGGAAUGAAAUCGCAAAUGAGUUUGUUGUUGCAGGUUAUGUUCAUAUUGGUGCAUGCCGAGUUUCACCAGAUCAUAACUUUCUUGCAUACACACUGGACACUAAUGGCAGUGAGCAGUUCAUGCUUCAAAUUAAGGACCUCAGAACUGGGUCUAUUCUUCCUAAAACAUGGGUUGAUGGGGUUGUUAGCUUGGCAUGGGCUGAGGAUGGCUGUACUUUGUUCUAUACAGUCUUGGAUGAGACCCAACGACCUUACAGGGUUUUCUGCACAGAACUGGGGUCAUAUUUCCAGGAUGCUAAUCUGAUAUUCACGGAAAGCGAUUCAAGUUGCUGUGUGGACAUCACAACCACAAAGGAUGGAAAGUUCAUAACUGUGAAUUCUAACUCAAGGACUUCAUCGGAGGUUUACAUACUAGAUGCAUCGAAACCACAUAGUGGGUUGCGAAGAGUACGUAAACGUGUGCCUGGUGUGCAGUACUUUCUGGAACAUCACUAUGGUUACUUCUAUAUUCUUACCAAUGCUCCUUUGAGGGAAGAUGCGGAUUUAUUUGACAGAGGUUAUUAUUUGACUAGAUGCAAGGCUGGAGAUAUACAGUUGUCCACUUGGCAGGAUAUUAUCCUACCAGAUCAAGAUCUCAUUUUUCAAGACAUGGAUAUUUUUUAUGAACACUUGGUACUUUUCCUUGAUAAAGGGGGGUCCCCCAUGAUCUGUUCCAUCGAUAUGCCUAUCAAUGUUACCAAUGUCAAUUUUAAGCAUCACGUGAAGGUUGAUGAUCUUAAUCCAUGGUUUUUUCCUGUACCUUCAAAUUUCUGUAGCAUUACUCCAGGUUCAAACCAUGACUUCAUGUCGUCUUUGUACCGUGUGGUGCUUUCAUCUCCAGUGAUGCCCGAUGUGAUUGUUGACUAUGAUAUGUUAAAGAAGAAUUUCUCUAUUUUGCAACAAGACGAGGUAGUUGGGAUUACCAGCAAUGCUGGAUCAAGUUCAUUAUCAUGUAAUGUUCAUAAGAAAAUUGUAGGCAUGGAAACCCAUAAAGAUCAGCUUAUGCAAAAUAUAGAAGUCCAGAGCUGGAAGGAUCUUCCUGAAGCAUUCUCCUGUGAAAGGAAGGGAGUUAUUUCACAUGAUGGUGCUGAAGUCAUUCUGACCAUCUUAUACUCUACGGAAGCACAAAAGAAGGGUCAAUCUCCUGGGCUUUUACAAGGAUAUGGAGCUUAUGGAGAAGUUUUGGAUAAAAGUUGGUGUGCAAAUCGCCUGAGUUUAAUUGAUCGUGGUUGGGUUUUGGCUUUUGCUGACGUGAGGGGUGGUGGUGAUACUUCAUGGCAUAAGGCUGGCAGCGGUGCAUACAAGCUAAACUCAAUAUAUGAUUUUAUUGCAUGCGGAAAGUACUUGAUUAAUGAGGGCUAUGUUCAUAAGGAUAGGCUUGGUGCUAUUGGAUUUAGUGCAGGAGGUCUCCUUGUGGGGGCUGCAAUAAACAUGUAUCCUGAUUUAUUCCGUGCUGCUAUCUUGAAGGUUCCUUUUCUUGAUAUCUGUAACACAUUGUUAGAUCCAAGUUUACCUCUCACCAUCUUGGACUAUGAAGAAUUUGGUGACCCUAGGAUUCAAGAACAGUUUGAAUCUAUUUUUAAUUACUCUCCUUAUGAUAACAUUCCUCAAGGCGUUUGUCAUCCUUCAGUGCUAGUUACGAGUUCAUUGCAUGACUCAAGAGUCGGUGUUUGGGAAGCUGCCAAAUGGGUAGCUAAGUUGCGAGAGAGCACAUGUUCCAGUUGUUCUCAAUCAGUCAUCCUGAAAACAAAUAUGAGCGGGGGACAUUUUGGUGAAGGUGGUCGUUUCAGCCACUGUGAAGAGGUAGCUUUUGAGUAUGCCUUUCUGAUGAAAGUGGUGGGAAUGCAUUAUGGUAAUCAGUAAGAUGGAGUUUUGUGGAAGGGAGCUGUUCUAUGAAUCAUUAGGGGAACUUUAGAUACUGUGCCUUCAGAAAGAUGGAAUUCCUUGGAGAUCACUAGAAGUGAGAAUCAACGAGCUUUUUCAAGGCAUCCCAUCCCCAAGGUCAAGUAUUGACCUUGUUGAAUGUGAAAUGACAUUGUGUUAAUAUUGCAGGUACUGUUUAGAAGACUGACCAUCAGCUCUAGUAUUGACAGGCUUUCAUUUUUCAUAUAUACGGGUACAAGAAAAUGGAAGACCGGUUCCAAAGGGAAUCCCAUUGUAGUAGAUUUGAUUUCAAUAUGGUUGGUUCACUGCCUGUGCUCAGUAGCCUUCUACCAUGUUCCACUAAACAAAGGAUUAAAUCAUAAUUCACAGUAUUUUGAGAUGAUCAGUGUGUAUACACCAAAUCCAUGUAAUGAUGACCAGUGAUGACCUCUGUCCGUACAAGACUUGUGGGGGCCUCAACCUAUUUUAUUUAUUGCUAUAGUUUUGUAUUCCCUUUUUACAAUUUUGUAACAAAAAAUAUUGUUAUAAAUUGAAGUUAAUAGAAGGUAAAGCAUGAGUACCAAAAUC